UACAGAGGGGGCAAGCGUUGUUCGGAAUUACUGGGCGUAAAGGGGCGCGUAGGCGGCCCGCUAAGUCGAACGUGAAAUCCCCGGGCUCAAACCCGGGAACUGCGUCCGAUACUGGUGGGCUUGAAUCCGGGAGAGGGAUGCGGAAUUCCAGGUGUAGCGGUGAAAUGCGUAGAUAUCGGGAGGAACACCAGUGGCGAAGGCGACUUCCUGGCCUGUUCUUG
rnacentral:rRNA from 1 species